UGAUUUCAUUUUGAUAAAAUUGGAACGAUAUAGAGAAGAUUAGCAUGGUCCUGUACAAGGAUGACAUGAACAAAUCGAGAAAUGGUAUGAGAGCUAAUUUUU